UAUGGGUCUUGACAGAACAGACGAUUUUAUAAUCUACUGGCCUGCUAAGUCCCACA
rnacentral:pre_miRNA from 1 species